rnacentral:misc_RNA from 1 species
AAUUCAAAGUCAAGGAGUGAGAAAGGGAAGGGGAGACCUAAGAUGACAUGGAGGAAAGUGACAAAUUUUGGAUAUUGAUGCGGACUUGGCGUCUAAUAAAUCUGAAUAGCAAAAAAUGAUCAACAUAACUGGCCGCAACUAGUUUGAAUUACGGCUUAGUCGUUGUUAUUGAUUACUAAUUCCAAUAAGACAAGGAAAGUGCCUUUCAUUGUAAAUAAUAUUCCUUCCAUCAUAUUUACUCAUUAUCAUGAACAUUCCUUUCUUAAGUAAUAAAAUUUGGAAGCAAACUAACGCCUAAGGUAAGAGCUUUGGUCUGCUUUUGUCUGAUUUGCAGUUUUUCCUAACAUAUAUAAUAAUGUCAUGUUGCAAAAAAGAAGAUUUAAUAUGGUUUUCUUAUUUUAUUGCUUUUUAAUGCAUUCCAAAAAUACUAAGACUAAUUCUUACAAUGGUUUUAAAUAACGUAAGACUCAUUAUUACCAUGGUUUUAAAUAAUGAACAUUACAUUACGUAACGAAGAUUAUUCAUGGGUUCUUCAAGCGGCCGUUAUCCUUUACCCCAUUAUUUAAAAGCAUUUAUUGGUAACGCCAUUAUUUACCAUUAAGUAAUG